ACCGGCAGCUCAAGUGGUGGCCAUUUUUAUUGGGCCUAAAGCGUUCGUAGCCGGUUUGAUAAGUCUCUGGUGAAAUCCCGCAGCUUAACUGUGGGACUUGCUGGAGAUACUAUUAGACUUGAGGUCGGGAGAGGUUAGGGGUACUCCCAGGGUAGGGGUGAAAUCCUAUAAGCCUAGGAGGAACACCUGUGGCGAAGGCGCCUACCUGGAACGUAACUGACGGUGAGGAGCGAAAGUCUGGGGAGCAAACCG
rnacentral:rRNA from 1 species